CCUACGGGCGGCAGCAGUGGGGAAUAUUGCGCAAUGGGCGAAAGCCUGACGCAGCGACGCCGCGUGAGGGAUGAAGGUCUUCGGAUCGUAAACCUCUGUCAGCAGGUAAGAACGGUCACUGUGCUAAUCAGCAGUGAAUUGACGGUACCUACAAAGGAAGCACCGGCUAACUCCGUGCCAGCAGCCGCGGUAAUACGGAGGGUGCGAGCGUUAAUCGGAAUUACUGGGCGUAAAGCGCUCGUAGGCGGUAUGUCAAGUCAAGGGUGAAAUCCCCGCGCUCAACGUGGGAACUGCCUUUGAAACUGGCAAACUUGAGUGUGUGAGAGGAUAGUGGAAUUCCAGGUGGAGGAGUGAAAUCCGGAGAGAUCUGGAGGAACAUCAGUGGCGAAGGCGACUAUCUGGCACAUAACUGACGCUGAGGAGCGAAAGCGUGGGUAGCAAACAGGAUUAGAUACCCCAGUAGUC
rnacentral:rRNA from 1 species